rnacentral:snRNA from 1 species
AGCUUUAUGCAGCGGCAGUAUCGUAGCCAAUGAGGUUUAUCCGAGGCAUGAUUACUGCUAAUUAAAUAAAAAAAAAAGGCUAAAACGAUAAAUUUUAUGUUAACGUGCAUUUUACCGUACCGCCAUG